rnacentral:rRNA from 1 species
CACGCAGGCGGUUUGCUAAGUCCUUUGUGAAAGCCCGGGGCUCAACCCGGAAUUGCAUGGGAUACUGGUUGACUGGAGACAGGUAGAGGCUAGCGGAAUUCCUGGUGUAGCGGUGGAAUGCGUAGAUAUCAGGAAGAACACCUGUGGCGAAGGCGGCUAGCUGGGCCUGUUCUGACGCUCAUGUGCGAAAGCGUGGGGAGCAAACA